UACGUAGGGACCGAGCGUUGUCCGGAAUCAUUGGGCGUAAAGAGCGUGUAGGCGGCCUUUUAAGUCCUGCGUGAAAUCCUGCGGCUCAACCGCAGACGGUCGUGGGAAACUGGAAGGCUAGAGUGCGGGAGAGGAGAGUGGAAUUCCUGGUGUAGCGGUGAAAUGCGCAGAUAUCAGGAAGAACACCCGUGGCGAAGGCGGCUCUCUGGAACGCAACUGACGCUGAGACGCGAAAGCGUGGGGAGCAAACAGG
rnacentral:rRNA from 1 species